CCCAGACAGGCCCUCCUCCGCGGCCUCCGGUGUGGCACAGACCUUACAGAAUGUGGCAACACCUAGGAGACAAGAGGUUAAGAAUUGGUUCUUGGCUCUGAAAGGGGAAAGUUUAGGUUUGCAGUCAAGACAAACAGGAGGCCAGAGCACAGAGCCGCCAGCUUUUCAAAUGGCCACGGUUGCCUGUAACAGAAAGUUACAGAGAUAUACAGCCAGGAGCAGGAGGAGUUUUGCAGGUGUGGAGAUAUCACAUCACCACCUGCUCAUUGCUACAGAUGAAGUCACUUUUGAAACAGCUACAGGGCAGUUGAGAAGCUGGCAACCCAGGAUAUGGAGCAGGGAUGAGGCCGGCCAGACCCUUUGCUCUGCACAGUUACCUGAGUAGCCACUGCGGGUGCGACUGAAGCUGAAGUAGGAGUUAUACCCCUCUACUAUAGCCAAUGGCUCCUCCAGAAGGUCCCCUGAGAACAAAGCACAAUUUGGGAAGAAGGGAGCCAAGAAGAGAGCAAUCACAGCUGCCCCUCUCCAGGAAGAGUACAACUCCCAGAGUUCCGUGGCGAGGGGAAGCAUCACAGCUGCUAAACCAGUUUGGCACCCUUGAGACUCGCUGCGUCCCGCUCCCGCCUCGCUUUCAGCUCCGGCUGCUGCACCGGAGGAUGCCUCUGACUCACGGGUGAUCUUGGUCUCUUGGAGGCAGACGACAUCGGCGCCUAGCGAGUCCAGGAGGCGCCGCAGCCCUGCAGGACCCGCCCCAGCUCGGAGCCCGUUCACGUUCCAGCUCACCAGCCUCAUCCCCCACCCCGCGCCAGCCGCCGGACUCCAGGAGAGGGGCGGGAGCGAACUUCAAAGUCAGACGUCACUUCCGGCCGCCCAAUGAGCAACAACGAAGCGUUAUUGAAAAUAAACCCUUCGAAGUUCCUUCCUUUCAGCCAGCACUUCCGGUUCUGAUUUGAAUCCUCCAGCUGCGGGUCUAGAGUUGGGUGGGUGGAGCGGUAUGUAGGGGACAAAAUAAAACAUUAAAUAACAGCGGGCCGGAUAACAUAAGGAGCUCCCAUCCGUUAAUCUUGUGGUUACAAACACGAACUGUCCCCUGCUAAUCAGGAUGAUCCACCCUGCCCUGUGUGUCCCUCAAGCUCCAGGCACAGGCUCUUCCCCUGGUCCACCAGGUGCCAUAUCCUCUGCCCCACUGGCUCCAGCAUAUGCACCCAAGGAUCUCUGAGCCUCAAAAGAACUGGCAACUCUAUCAUCCUAAAGGUCAAGGUGACACAGAAGAUGCAUGAGAGGGUUUCCUGGCAUUUUUAUGAAAGCAGCUAUGGGGACCCUCUGCUAAUUAGAUCACGAAAGCAGC